rnacentral:tRNA from 1 species
CCUAACUAUUUAUAUUAUAGAAUUUUUUUUAUCCCUUUUUCAGCGGUUC